UAGCUGCUGCAUAGGACCAAAGAGAGAAUCCUCUUCCUGCCAACAUUUUCAUCUUUCUUGUUGAAGCACCAAAGAAGAGCUAUGUGCCCCCAGCCCCUUAGUACUCCUAGAGGCAAGUGCCUUUCACUAUUUCUAUCUGUCAGCUUUUUGUGGAGUUGGGACAAAAUUCAAGUGACAAGGCCAAGGCUACGGCCAUGACCAAUAUAGCUGUGGCCAAUACCAGUUCUCUCAGUCCAAUGGUCUCCACCUUCCCAAUAAUAGGGUGUCCAAGCAGUUAUUGUGUGGUUUUCUGGGAUCUUCUCUGGGGAUGAGCUACAAACUCCAAGAGCCUGCCCAGAUAAUCCUCCAUACUCUGACAUACCCAAUUUUCAAGUGAUUUUAUAGUACGGUGACUCCUACAUCCUUUCGUGUAAAUAUUAUCCAUAACGGUUCUAUGUUAUUUAGUAUUUGCCAUGAUUGAGAGAUGCUCAGCCCUACAUAAAUUUAUAGUACAGUUAAUAUUUAUAUUAAUAAAAAAUAAUCUUUUAUUCAUAUUAACUAAAAAAGAGGGGGUGUUGUAAUUUCAGAGUGUUUACAAAGCCUAGCUCUUAAAUAUCAACACACUCAACCAUUCUCAUGAGAUUCUCUAAAAUCCUUUUAACAGUUUAAACAGGCACUCAAGAGCCACAGCUUCUUGGUUCUGGAUUAUUGCGCCUCUCAAACUAUCUCAGCAAGAUAAAUCAUCCCAAGGAUUGAACUGUAUCCUGCCCCAAAUUCAUAUGUUGAAGCCCUAAGUCCCAAUGUGACUGUAUUUGGAGAGAAGACUUUUAGGAGGUAAUUAGGUUCAAUGAGGUCAUAAAAGUGGGACCCUGAUCUGAUGGAAUUAUUGUCCUUCUAAAAGGACAUACCACAUAGCCCAUCAUCUCUUUCUCCUUUCCUUCCUCCCCACCUCUUCCUCUCCCUCUCUCCCUGUCUCCCUCACUGUCCAUGCACCACAGAGAAAAAGCCAUAUGAGGACACAACCAGAAGGCAGCUGUCUAUAAACCAGGAAGAGAGCUCUCACCAGAAACCAACUCUGCUGGACUUCUAGACCCUAAAACUGUGAGAAAAUACACUUCUGAUAUUUAAGCCACACAGUCUAUGGUAUUUUGUUAUGACAGCCUUGGCAAAAAAUAUAAGCCCCAUCACAAUGGAUCCAGGGAUUGAUUCAAUCAGGCUAGUUUCUUCCAUCAGAGGAGCAAAAUCAGAAAAUCACAUUCCAAUCUGCUUUAAUGAAUAGCUAAGAGAAAUGACCUAAGGGCUCAAGAGAGGUAGCAUGGGGGAGGUGGGGGUACAAAAGUCAUUUAAUGUAAUGCUCUAAUCAGAGGCAGCAUAGAAAAGCAGAGAUUACUCUACUAGGUAUUAAUCCAAAGGAUGCAAAAAUAGUGAUUAGAAGGGACACAUAUACCCCAAUGUUUAUGGCAGCACUAUCCACAAUAGCCACAACAUGGAAAGAUCUCAAAUGUCCAUCAGCUGAUGAGUAGAUAAAGAAUAUAUGAUGUAUACAUAUAUAUACAUACAC
rnacentral:lncRNA from 1 species